GCCUGCCCAGUGACUCUGUUUAACGGCCGCGGUAUCCUAACCGUGCGAAGGUAGCGUAAUCACUUGUUCUUUAAAUGAGGACUAGUAUGAAUGGCAUCACGAGGGUUAUACUGUCUCCUUUUCUAAAUCAGUGAAACUAAUCUUCCCGUGAAGAAGCGGGAAUAAAACUAUAAGACGAGAAGACCCUAUGGAGCUUUAAACUUCCCAGCAAUUAUUUUCUAUUAACACAUCUCAAGACUAUAAAAUAAACCUUAAUAACAUGACUGCAAGUUUUCGGUUGGGGUGACCACGGAGUAAAACUUAACCUCCACAAUGAAUUAGAACCAUAAUUCUAAGCAAAGAAAUACAAUUCUAUGCAUCAAAAAACUGACAUUAUUGACCCAAUAUUUUGAUCAAUGAACCAAGUUACCCUAGGGAUAACAGCGCAAUCCAUCUCAAGAGCUCUUAUCGACAGAUGGGUUUACGACCUCGAUGUUGGAUCAGGGUAUCCCAGUGGUGCAGCCGCUACUAAAGGUUCGUUUGUUCAACGAUUAAAACCCUACGUGAUCU
rnacentral:rRNA from 1 species